rnacentral:misc_RNA from 1 species
GUCCUGUACUGCUGUCCAUGCUCUCGUGGAAAUUGCCGCCCGCGACACGCCUCCCGAUAUCCACACAUUGGCAUCUGCGCGCUGCGUGGGACACUCGGACGUGGCUGUCGUCGCUAAGACUCUGUUCCGUCCGUCGUGCCGCCGUUUAGACGUCUCGGAUUGGGGACGGCGGCGCGUGCGUGGCGGUCAGAUCUUCGUCAAAACGCUCCGACCAGAGACGGCGCGCGCGUGGCGGCCUACACGUCGUCGUAAGUCUCGCUUGGGAUUGCUCUGCCUGUAAGGCGAGAUUGCGAGAAGAUGGGGCAGACAAGGAAGGAGGUCGUAUUGGCGCUGGACUCUAGGUUCACAAGCAUGAUGACGGACCAAAGAAGCUCGAGAACUCCAUGCUGCAUUGCUAUCUCAACCAAGAGGACUUGGUGGAGGAAGGAAAGGAGGAAGAGAAGAAGGAGAAACUGAGUAACAUGUUUGUCCUGAUUACCGUAAAAAACAGGUUUGUCCUGAUCAUUCAACUCCUCCUCCAUCUGUUUCUCAAAAAUCUUUACUAUGCCUGCCUAAGACGGUAGGAGAUUUGCCAAUGUAAGUUUCUGAUUGGCUCAAAGAUGCUGAAGUCCUUUUCCUAUUUCUGGAAGUCCUUGAGAAUCAUGUCUGGUCACUCAUCCUCUCGUAUAAAGCCUUACAUCAAGUGAAUCAGUUGUUGUAUUUGUCGGUGUUUUGGGUCCGACCGCACACCCGGGGUUGCCCCUCAAGGUGCUUUUAGGAGUAGGACGGUGUUGUCAACUGUAGUUCAAUGGUUCGUGCUAGUUGCACGAGAGACGGUGGACAAUGAUUUACAGGUUCGGGCCGCUUUGAAGUGCGUAACACCCUACGUCCUGGCGAGAAUGUUGUAUAUGGUGAGUUACAAGGUGAUUCUCUAAUGCGUAGGAAGCUGGGGUGGACGGCUAAGUGGUGAGUUCGAUUCUUUCUGGAGGGGUGCCCCCUAGGCCUUAUAUACUCGACCGUGGGGCAAUACAUGCAAAUAUGAUAAUCACGUGCACCUAAGAAAUAGUAGACCGAUUGAGUCUAUCUUCCUAUAGUUCCGCCGACCCAUCUUCGCUCGGUUCGUUGUACGGGCCUUCAGCGCGAGAAGAUCGGGUCUCUGUUGUGAUUACUCGCUCGAGAUCAUUGUGCCGUCUAAGCUUGUUCCGACCCAGCCUUAUGUCGAUCUGCUUCACUGGUCGUUCCUCCACAAGCCCACGAAGGGAUGACCUUACGACUUAUUGGACCCUUGGGCCUUUCGUGAGGUCUUUUAUCCUUCCAGUGGACCCAGGGGAUAUCUGUCCCCCACAAGCCCCCGAUCUUUGGGUUGAUUUUGAAAUAAUCGGCCCAGAGAUCCUAAGUCCAGCUUGCGGUCUUUGUUUGUAACAGGAAGUACUUUCUGGGUAAUCUAGUAACAACGAUUUCUUACUGUCUCCUUCUGCUUUUAUCACUUGAAAAUUGGUGUUCUGUCUUAGACUUUUGCUUCGGAGGUCAGCAUUUCGUACUGCGGGACUUCGAACUUCAUUGGGUGCACCAAAGGUGCACCCAAUGGGUGUAGCCCCCGAGCUUCGAGUGGAUUUUUUGAAAAUAAUCCACUCGAAGGUCUUCACUUUGAGUAUUAUCAGAAGUCACCUUCAUCUUCCACUUGUAUUUUGUCGGAGGUUAACCUUGCAUUGAUCUUACCCUAUGCUUUAGAGGUCAGCAUUGUCUUGAUCCGAGAUAAUGAUUCAAUGGGUGUAGCCCCCGAGCUUCGAGUGGAUUUUUGAAAAUAAUUCACUCGAAGAUCUUCAUUUUAUGCCUUUUUCCAGUGAUCUUCUUCCCUUUUUGCCGGAUGCCUUGGAGGUCAGCACUAUGUUAUUGAUAUUAUGCUUUAGAUAUCAGCGUAUAUUUUGUCUUUGAGGCCGAGUUUGUGAUCUGCUCAUAUCUUGCUAGGCGGUGCAAUUUAUUUGAUCUGUGACUGAUUGGACGUUCGACAGGUGACCCUUGGCUAGUCUUUGUUAUCACUUCUUGCUUCAAUGCUUCUGUCGAUUAGACUUGUACCUUGUUGGCUAUAUAGCUUUCCUUUGAUCCUUGUUGAUAUCUCACUUUUGUCUUGAAAUAUUCAUUGCACGUGCUGCACGGAUGUGACAGUUUUGAAAAAUAUACUGGUAUUUCCUGGGCGUCCCCCCAAUGGGUGUAGGCAAGGGACGGCUUGGUACAGAGUGUUUUAGCAAACUGUCUCUGAGUAGUAACUUGAUGUGACCGCGGGUGUAAUCAUAUCGCCCGCGCAGUUGACUGGAGUCCCAAUGGGUGUUGUGUUGCGUGAAACGGCGUCAGCCGCCUGGCGUGUCUUCAGACGGUUUGAAUUGCAUAUUCAAUUUUUGCGACUGUUCAGUCGCCAUGGUAGGAGGUGAGCGGUUGCCUCCUUCUUCUAUAAAUAGUGUUCUUGCUUCCCCGGCAUUUUCACAUCUCUUACUGCUCUCUGCUGCUUGCUCUCUUCUUCCUCCUUCCUUUCCACCAUGGGCAAGAGUAAGAAGGGUAGCAGUUCCUCGCCUCGCUCUGGUGAUAAGCGCAAACGUGAGCCGACUCCUCCCUCGGAGGACUUCGGCAACUCGGAGUACUCGGAGGAGGAGUUCUCCUCCGAGUCCGAGGGGUCUCCGGCCCCCGCCUCUCCCCCGGCGUCGUCUGAUGAUUCAGACGACUCCCAGGGGAUUGCCGCGGAGGCCUGGACCUACAUCCGGGCCGUCGAGCGCGCCGAGCUCGAGGGCUCGGAUGAGUCGGAGUACUCCUCAGACGAGGAGGACUCCUCGGACUCGUCCGAGGAGGGCAGCGGCGGCGAUGGCGGAGACAACGAUGACGACGGAGGCGACAGCGACGGCAGCGGCAAGGACAGUGACGGCAGCGGCGAGGGCGGCAACGGCGGCGGCAAGGGCAGCAGCAGGGGCAGCAACCAGGCCAGUGGCUAAAUGCCACUGGUUUUUAGAUAUUAGUAUAGAUUAGUAGUAGAAAUAGUAUUAGUGAAAUAACGUAGUAGUAGUAGUAUAGAAUAGUGUAAUGUAACGUAGUAGUAGUGGUAGGGAAGUAUCAACUCAUAACGAGUUGAUUUGUAAGUUCUGUAACUUCCCUUUCAUGAAGAAUGAUAUAGUCUCUCCCUGUGUUAAUUUCUUUGCUUCCUGCGACGAUGGUGUCUUAGAAACAGUGGCCGAGUUAUUAUCGACGACAUUAGCGCUUCUGAAAUAGUGUCCGAAUGAUGGCGGGGCCACGUUGGUGUUUUUAGAAUUAACGGCCGAGUGGUUACUGUUGAUACCAGUGUUAUAGAAGUAACAACCGAGUGACUGACGGCAGCGUCAGCGUUUUAGAGGCAACGACCGAGUGACUGGUGGCAGCAUCGGCGUUUUAGAGGCAACGACCGAGUGACUGACGGCGACGUCGGCGUUUUAGAAGUAACAGCCGAGUGAAGUCAGCGUUUUUAGAAACCACGGCUGAGUCAAUUUGGGCCGUGUUGGCCGUUUUGGAAUCAACGGCCGAGUGAUGACAUGGCACGCCGGCUUUUUUAGAAAUAGCAGCUGAGUGAUGACGUGGCACGCCAGCGUUUUUAGAAAUAACCGCUGGGUGAUGACUGGGCACUUUUUGGAAAUGACAUCUGGCCCGGGAAAACCCUAUAUGUACUGCACUGUUCCGCGUCUCCACAUACCGUGCCCUAGUUCUUGCUUUCCUGCUUCCAGAUCCUCUCUGUCGAUUUGCAAUUCUGCUUCCACUCUGCUCGCCGGCGAGGUUAAGAUGGCGCCUAAGCGGAAAGCUUCGAGUUCGUCCGCUGCUGUCAUUCCCCCCAUCGAUCCCAACAGUCAAUUGCCUUUCACAGGUAACCAUAUGUCUGUUGUUUCUGAGUCUGACCUUCUCCAUCUCGUGUCCAUCGGAGUUCUUUCUCCGAAAGAACUCUGUUCCUGGCGGAUCUGCUGUGGGUCACUGUUCCAACAGAAGACACCCAUGAAUCUGUUGUUUAUGUUCCAUUCCUCCUCUGCGGCCUUGCUCUUCCUAUUUCUCCCUUUUUCCGUGGUUUACUUGAUUUCUAUCGCUUGAAUCUGACCCAUUUGAAUCUCAAUUCCAUUCUGCAAAUCUCCAUCUUUGUUCAUUUAUGUGAGGCUUUUCUUGGCGUUCUGCCGCAUUUUGGCCUGUGGAAAUAUUUGUAUCACUGUCGCCCUGGGAUGGCCGGAGGUCAGCACCAACUGGUAGGGGGCGCGAGCUUGGAGAUGCGCCGCGGGAGGAAAACCGAUUACCUUGACAUCCCACUCAAAGACAGCACCAAAGGAUGACGCUUAGAGUGGUUUAUCGUGGAAAAUCAUGGGAAUUCCCUCCCACCACGGUCAGGGAGACAACCGGAUGUUCGUACUCCGAGUUGGACCGAGUCCCCCACAGACCAGGAGGUGGCUGAAGCAGGGGCUCUGCUAGCUGAAGUUGGAUUGCUGAAAGAGAGGGGUCUGACUGCCGAGGCUGUGGUUGCUGACUUUGUCUUCAAGAAUAUUCAGCCACUGAAGGACCGGGCAUACCCAUCCUAUCUGUAUCGAGGUCUAGCUGACUCAACCCGGGUCACCGACAGAAGAAUUCCUGCUGUGGACUUGGUGAACUGGCUUGAAAUGAUACUUAGAGGCAACGUAUCAAACGUUGGCGCCCCUGUUGCGUACUCGGCCUGGAACCUGCCUCCUUCCAAAGCCUUUACUUAUUUCGUGUCAAGUCCUUCUUCUGCUGAUGGCGGUUUGGGCCUUAGAGUGCGACCCUCUGCCAAAGAAGUUAGUGCUUUGGUUGCUUUACUUGGAGAAAUUCCUGAUGAUGAACGGCAGGUCCACUUUGAAGUGCCUUUGGAUCCUAGUGAUGCAGAGAUAGGUGCCAUGCUGGAUAUGUUGGCUGGAGAUUCUUCUGAUGUCGCUCCUGCUGAAACAUUGGUGGUGGUGCCCAUCCAUGAAGCUGACAAAGCCUUGGACGCUCAGAAGCCUAUCAAUGUUCGUCCAAAACGUUCUCGCCGAGUUGACCAAGCCUCUUUUCCUGCUGAGGGGGAGAAAAAGAAGAAGAGACGCCUUCGUCAGGUGUCCAGCUUGGAUCAAGGUGCCGGUCCUUCUGCUCCUGUUGCUGAGGAAGUGCCAGUGCCUGAAUUCACUGAAGCUGAUCCCAAUGGGUGUAGCCCGUCUAACGCUGAACCCAAUGGGUGUACUGUCUGUCUUGCUGAUGAUAACGGUGAAGAAGAAGAUGAAAUCCCCCUGAUUCGGAAAAACAGCUGCCAUUACACUGCCAGUGGGGAAAGUAGCGGUGUUCCUUCUCUAGCCUUGUUUGCCCUCAUUGGACUGCAAGAAUUAUCUCUAGCUAACUUUGAUCAGACUCUUGAGGACAUGAUUCCAGAAGAUCUGCUAUCAGAACCGGCAGAUGGUGGCGCCAUGGAUGUUUGUGUUGAUGUGAUCGACGCCGGGUUGGGGUCCUCCCGUGCAGCGUCCCGCGCCUCAUCGACCUUGGAGCGUGGUCUUGAGGGUCAGGAGGCUGGUUUGGAUUCCCCUGCUCCCAUGGAAGUGAUCGAGGGACCUUCAGCCUUAGAAGCGGCUGCUGCAGAGAACUCGGCCCACGAUGACGGUGCUAGCCUUUACCCAGCCCCCGAGGGUGCUGCCGGAGAUGAUCCAGCUCAAAUGGAUAGUGCCAGCUACUACCCAGCCCCCGAGGGUGCUGCCGGAGAUGAUCCGGCUCGGAUGGGUAGUGCAAGCUAUGAUCCAGCCCCCGAGGGUGCUGCCGGAGAUGAUCCGACUCGGAUGGGUAGUGCAAGCUAUGAUCCAGCCCCCGAGGGUGUGGGAGCGGGUUCUCCCUCUUGCACUUCCAUGGAUGUUCACGUAGGGUCCACUCCUCCACACUCUGGUUGUGUGGUAACAGCCCAAGCCUUUGGUCAGGGGGUCGCUUUAGAGGCCAGCGUACCUGAUGACAAGGUUUUGGGUUCUGCCGAUGUCACUGAAUUGGUCCCUGCUGAAUCAUUGCAAGUUGCUCCGAGUGGUGAUCCUUUGCCGAGCCAUCAGUUGAUCUCUCAUGAUUUGGGAGUCGCUUCCUUCUUUUCCAACUUCCAGGCGUUGGUCGAUGAGAUGUCUAGCCGGCUGAGGUUGUAGGGUGCUUCCGUCCCGGAAGGAGCUUUGUCUCUGGCGCGUUGGAAUCCGGUGCUGCUUCGGCGGCGUGUUUCUGACUUAGAGGCGGCGAAUGCUGGUCAGUGCUCUUUUGCUUCCUUCUGGCUACCUUAUCAAACUGCUUCUUAUUUCAACACCUUUGCUUGACUGUUUCUCACCAGAUAUGAUUCAGCAGUAUUCUGCUCUUGAGGAAAAACGCUCUCAAGACCAAGCUGAACUGGUCUGGCGGUGUUUUGAUCUUGAGGAAAAGUAUUCCCAAAGUCAGACAGAACUGGCCCAGGUCUCUGCUUCUCUGAAUGAUGCCAACACGCUGAACUCUACUCUCCGCGCUCAGCUUGACUCUGAGAAGGAAGAAAAACGUGCCCUUGUUACUUCUCGUGACAAUCUUGAUAGGCUAUAUCGUGACUCUAGCAACUCGCUGACCAUCUUGGAGAGGAGUCAUCGCUUCACCAGGGAGGAGUUAGACAAUCUUCGUUAUAAGCUGCAGGAAUCCUUGGAUGAUGUGAUUCGCCUCAGGGAGUUGAUAUCGGCCAAAGAUGUUGUCAUCAAGAAUCUGCGUGCUUCCAAGAAAUCUGUCGCCGAGGAGCUAGAGACUGCUCAGUUGGCUGUCAAGGUUGCUGAAGAGACUUCCGCUACUUUGAGGGCCCAACGCGAUAAAGCCAUGGAUAAAGCUAUUCGCGCGGGGCGGAUUCUGAUGAAGAGACCUGGUGUGGUUGUCCCUGACGACAUAGUGGCAGAUGUGAACGCUGCUCCCGAUUCCUCGAGUCGCCCUUCUUCGUCAGUUGCUCCUGAGAAGAAUGUCGCAAAAUAGAAAAACAUUGCAUGCUUCGAGCGCAUGGUUAAUGUGCUCGGAUGUUUUGUUAGAGGACACCUUUCAGUGCUGAAUGCUACUAUUGUUCUCCUAUUGUUUUAGAAUUCAACAGUAUCUACAUUUGUAGAGGUAAAAUGUAGCGUAAUGGUUUCGAGACUUCUUCAUGGGACAUAGAGGCCGCCCCUGGAUGAGUAACCGUAUACGCGCUGAGUGCGCUGCGCC